GCGGGGAGGUUCAUGGCCGCGCUCCUGCUUUGCAGGGGUGAGGAAAGUCCGGGCACCGCAGGGCAGGAUGCCAGCUAACGGCUGGUCGGCGAGCCAAGCGUCCCUCUAGAGCGCCGAACCGGGGGGAAGGCGGCGAAGCCGAAGGACAGUGCCACAGAAACCAGACCGCCAGUUUCCGCAGAGCCCCGGCGCGGGUGGAGCUGGUCAGGGUGAAACGGUGCGGUAAGAGCGCACCAGGCCGCCGGGAGACCGGGGGCGCUGGUAAACCCCAUCCGGUGCAAGACCCGACCGUGCGCGAGGAGCGGCCCGCUCCGAAGACCGCCAGGAUGGUCGCUAGAGGUGCGCGGCGACGCGCAUCCCAGAGAGAUGGCCAUGCCCCCCCUUGACCGGGGGAGACAGAACCCGGCUUAUCGCCUCCCCGCUCCC
rnacentral:RNase_P_RNA from 2 species